UACAGGGGGGGCAAGCGUUGUUCGGAAUUACUGGGCGUAAAGGGCUCGUAGGCGGCCAACUAAGUCACACGUGAAAUCCCCAGGCUUAACCUGGGAACUGCGUGUGAUACUGGAUGGCUUGAAUUCGGGAGAGGGAUGCAGAAUUCCAGGUGUAGCGGUAAAAUGCGUAGAUAUCUGGAGGAAUACCGGUGGCGAAGGCGGCAUCCUGGACCGACAUUGACGCUGAGGAGCGAAAGCUAGGGGAGCAAACGGG
rnacentral:rRNA from 1 species